rnacentral:rRNA from 1 species
CGCCUGGAACGGUGAGUGGAUGAAAGCUCCGGCGGCAUAGGAUGGGCCUGCGGCGUAUCAGGUUGUAGGGGGUGUAAUGUACCCUCUAGCCCUCUACGCGUACGGGUGUUGGGAGACAUAGCCCGGAGAUGGAUUCUGAGACACGAAUCCAGACCCUACGGGGUGCAGCAGGCGCGAAAACUUGGCAAUGCGAGAAAUCGUGACCAGGGAACUCCAAGUGCAUCGGGUAAGACCGGUGCUUUUCUUGACUCUAAAUAGGUCUUGGAAUAAGGGGUGGGUAAGGACGGUGCCAGCCGCCGCGGUAAUACCGGCGCCUCAAGUGGUAGUCGCUUUUAUUGGGCCUAAAACGUCCGUAGCCGGUCUGAUACAUUCGUGGGUAAAUCAACCAGCUCAACUGGUUGAAUUCUGCGAGGACGGUCAGACUUGGGACCGGGAGAGGUGUGGGGUACGCUCAGGGUAGGGGUAAAAUCCUGUCAUCCUGAGCGGACCACCUGUUGCGAAGGCGCCACACUAGAACGGAUCCGACGGUCAGGGACGAAGCCUAGGGGCACGAACCGGAUUAGAUACCCGGGUAGUCCUAGGUGUAAACGCUGUGGACUUGAUGUUGGGGGUGCUCCGAGCACUCUCAGUGUCGAAGCGAAGGUGAUAAGUCCACUGCCUGGGAAGUACGGUCGCAAGGCUGAAACUUAAAGGAAUUGGCGGGGGAGCACCGCAACCUGAGGAUUGUGCGGUUUAAUUGGACUCAACGCCGGGA